CCUACAGGGGGCAGCAGUGAGGAAUAUUGGUCAAUGGCCGUAAGGCUGAACCAGCCAAGUCGCGUGAAGGAAGAAGGAUCUAUGGUUUGUAAACUUCUUUUAUAGGGGAAUAAAGGUAUCCACGUGUGGAUCUUUGCAUGUACCCUAUGAAUAAGCAUCGGCUAACUCCGUGCCAGCAGCCGCGGUAAUACGGAGGAUGCGAGCGUUAUCCGGAUUUAUUGGGUUUAAAGGGUGCGUAGGUUGUUUUUUAAGUCAGCGGUGAAAGUUUGUGGCUCAACCAUAAAAUUGCCGUUGAAACUGGAAGACUUGAGUGUGUUUGAGGUAGGCGGAAUGCGUGGUGUAGCGGUGAAAUGCAUAGAUAUCACGCAGAACUCCGAUUGCGAAGGCAGCUUACUAAGCCAUAACUGACACUGAAGCACGAAAGCGUGGGGAUCAAACAGGAUUAGAUACCCCUGUAGUC
rnacentral:rRNA from 1 species